UGUUCUCGCAGCGCCCCUUGGACAAAAUGGAAUAAAUCGAUUGAAAUAAUGAAAAAGAUUUUUCUAUUUUUUUUUUUUUAUUCUAUUUACCUAACGAAACUAAUUUGAAUCUACGAUAAAUGAUCGUUGAUUAAAAAUUUUUUAAUGCAAUACACCAUUAAACUGUUAUUAAUAUCUCUGAUUUUGUCUUCUAAACGUAUUAUAAAAACUGGAGAGCUAUUAUAACGAAGUGAACUGCCCUUGAAAGAAGUUGAAGCGAAAAAAGAUAAAUAUUAAAUGAUACAUCUAUUCUUUUUUAAUUGAAAAUUUAUAGUAAAUUUAUAUACUGAAAAUUAAAUAUUAAAAAUCGUAUCAGUCUUUAUAUCAAAACACAAAAUACAAUAAUCCAUAUUUGAGCUUUAAAUGACAUUAAUAGCAAUAAAACAUGUAAUAGGAAUUUCGAAAUAUAGUAGUCAUGCAUAAUUUUAAAAUGUUUAAUAUUUUUUUAUAAUUUAUUUUCCGACCGUAUUCAUUGAUUUUUAGAUAUACCAUAACCUAUUUAUACGAAACUUGUACAUACAUUGAUACAAAUGUGUAUUAUAGCACAAUCCCAUGAAAGAAUAAAACUACAUUACCACUUGUUAUCUAUUUUUCUCUCAUUUUAUGCUCCAGGUGAAAAUAACAAUAACAUAACUUCACUCGUAAACACCGCCUUUUGCCUCGUUAAUUAAAUUUGAUGAAGAAAGAGAAAUCGAUGGAUUCGUUUGAUAAUCCAACCAAACCAUUUGCGAUGAUGGUUUACGUUUUACUUCAGAAGAUCGAUGGUGGGUAGAUCAAGUGCCAGUUGGAGAGCUCACGGAUACUGGGAUGUUUGGUAAAUGUAACAAUUAGGCAUUAACAAUUAAGGAAUAAGAAAUAUAGAAAUUUCAAAUUUUCAAA